rnacentral:rRNA from 1 species
UACGUAGGGGGCAAGCGUUGUCCGGAAUCAUUGGGCGUAAAGAGCGUGUAGGCGGUCCGGUCAGUCGGUUGUGAAAGUCAAGGGCUCAACCCUUGAAUGCCGGCCGAUACUGCCGGGCUAGAGUCCGGAAGAGGUGAGUGGAAUUCCUGGUGUAGCGGUGAAAUGCGCAGAUAUCAGGAGGAACACCAAUGGCGAAGGCAGCUCACUGGGACGGUACUGACGCUGAGACGCGAAAGCGUGGGGGAGCAAACAGG